rnacentral:misc_RNA from 1 species
GAUGAAGAACGCAGCGAAAUGCGAUAAGUAAUGUGAAUUGCAGAAUCCAGUGAAUCAUCGAAUCUUUGAACGCACAUUGCGCCCGCCAGCAUUCUGGCGGGCAUGCCUGUUCGAGCGUCAUUUCAACCCUCGACCUCCCUUUGGGGAAGUCGGCGUUGGGGACCGGCAGCACACCGCCGGCCCUGAAAUGGAGUGGCGGCCCGUCCGCGGCGACCUCUGAGUAGUAAACCAACUCGCACCGGAACCCCGACGUGGCCACGCCGUAAAACACCCAACUUCUGAACGUUGACCUCGAAUCAGGUAGGACUACCCGCUGAACUUAAGCAUAUCAAUAAGCGGAGGA